GAUGAACGCUGACAGAAUGCUUAACACAUGCAAGUCCACUUGAAUUUGGGUUUUUAACUUAGGUUUGGGUGGCGGACGGGUGAGUAACGCGUAAAGAACUUGCCUCACAGCUAGGGACAACAUUUGGAAACGAAUGCUAAUACCUAAUAUUAUGAUAAUAGGGCAUCCUAUAAUUAUGAAAGCUAUAAGCGCUGUGAGAGAGCUUUGCGUCCCAUUAGCUAGUUGGAGAGGUAACGGCUCACCAAGGCGAUGAUGGGUAGCCGGCCUGAGAGGGUGAUCGGCCACAAGGGGACUGAGACACGGCCCUUACUCCUACGGGAGGCAGCAGUGGGGAAUAUUGGACAAUGGACCGAGAGUCUGAUCCAGCUAUUCUGUGUGCACGAUGAAGUUUUUCGGAAUGUAAAGUGCUUUCAGUUGGGAAGAAACAAAUGACGGUACCAACAGAAGAAGUGACGGCUAAAUACGUG
rnacentral:rRNA from 1 species